rnacentral:rRNA from 1 species
AUACGAAGGGUGCAAGCGUUACUCGGAAUUACUGGGCGUAAAGCGUGCGUAGGUGGUUGUUUAAGUCUGUCGUGAAAGCCCUGGGCUCAACCUGGGAAUUGCGAUGGAUACUGGGCAACUAGAGUGUGGUAGAGGAUAGUGGAAUUUCCGGUGUAGCAGUGAAAUGCGUAGAGAUCGGAAGGAACAUCUGUGGCGAAGGCGACUAUCUGGGCCAACACUGACACUGAGGCACGAAAGCGUGGGGAGCAAACAGGAUUAGAUACCCUGGUAGUCCACGCCCUAAACGAUGCGAACUGGAUGUUGGGCACAACUUGGUGCCCAGUAUCGAAGCUAACGCGUUAAGUUCGCCGCCUGGGGAGUACGGUCGCAAGACUGAA